rnacentral:rRNA from 1 species
UAGGCUUAAACGAUGGAUGCUUGGUGUCCGGGGUUUCAAAGUCCCCGGGUGCCGUCGCUAACGCCUUAAGCAUCCCGCCUGGGGAGUACGGUCGCAAGACUGAAACUCAAAGGAAUUGACGGGGACCCGCACAAGCGGUGGAGCAUGUGGUUUAAUUCGACGCAACGCGAAGAACCUUACCUGGGCUAGAAUGCUCCUGACAGCCCCAGAGAUGGGGUCUCCUGGGUAACACCAGGCAGGAUGCAAGGUGCUGCAUGGCUGUCGUCAGCUCGUAUCGUGAGAUGUUGGGUUAAGUCCCGCAACGAGCGCAACCCUUGUCAACUGUUGCUAGCGGUUCGGCCGGGCACUCGGUUGAGACUGCCGUUGAUAAAACGGAGGAAGGUGGGGAUGACGUCAAGUCCUCAUGGCCUUUAUGUCCAGGGCUACACACGUGCUACAAUGGCAGGUACAAAACGCUGCAAACUCGCGAGAGGGAGCCAAUCGUCAAAAGCCUGUCUCAGUUCGGAUCGGAGUCUGCAACUCGACUCCGUGAACUGGAAUCGCUAGUAAUCGCAGAUCACAUGCUGCGGUGAAUACUUCCCGGGUCUUGUACACACCGCC